CCAGACUCCUACGGGAGGCAGCAGUGAGGAAUAUUGGUCAAUGGGCGGGAGCCUGAACCAGCCAAGUCGCGUGAAGGAAGAAGGUACUUAGUAUUGUAAACCUCUUUUGUCGGGGAGCAAAAGCCGGACGUGUCCGGCUGUGAGAGUACCCGAAGAAAAAGCAUCGGCUAACUCCGUGCCAGCAGCCGCGGUAAUACGGAGGAUGCGAGCGUUAUCCGGAUUUAUUGGGUUUAAAGGGUGCGCAGGCGGAUUUUUAAGUCAGCGGUCAAAUCGUGGGGCUCAACCCCAUCCAGCCGUUGAAACUGGGGAUCUAGAGUGUGCGAGAGGUAUGCGGAAUGCGUGGUGUAGCGGUGAAAUGCAUAGAUAUCACGCAGAACCCCGAUUGCGAAGGCAGCGUACCGGCGCCCGACUGACGCUGAAGCACGAAAGCGUGGGUAUCGAACAGGAUUAGAUACCCCCGUA
rnacentral:rRNA from 1 species